rnacentral:tRNA from 1 species
UUCCCUGGAGUCCAGUUGUUAGGACUCAGCGCUUUUACUGCUGUGGUCCUGGGUUCAAUUCCUGGUUGGGGAA